GUUAAAUAACUAGGGAAGUAUUCAUUCAAUUCUAUUUCAAUGGAAAUGGAGCAGAAUUAUUGACACACAAGUGGCACAACGGUGCAGACUGUUAAUGUUAUCUGUGACACUCACAGUAGGAAGACAAAAGAUCUACUGACACAGUGAAAGUGUUUACAUUUUGCAUUAUUUUUCUGAUUCAACCUGAUGAAUGGUGUGUACUCAUUGAAUACAUGUACUGUAUAUGAAAUUAAUGAAGCCGUAAUCUGACAAAUACAAGCAAUGAGACAUUGUUCAUUGAUUAAAAUAUGGAAUAUUUUUCUGGUGUCCUUCACAAAUGAGACAAUUAAUCCUUGAGAUAUAAAAGAAUGCUUCAAGGUCAACAGAAUAUGAUUGAAAUUAUAAAGGCUUGUAAUUUAGUUUCUUAUUAUCAUUAUUAUAAUAUUGACAUGUUGUGAUGUCUUGCACUAAUCAGUGUUUGUUUUGUAUUAUAUUUCAGAUAUAAUAGUAUGAAUAUAGAGAUGAUUAUUUAGUUACCUUCAACUGCUCAGUGGUCAAAAGGGAGUAUGUCUGUGUGUCUUGAAGCAUUGAAUGCCCCCAAAACAACCAGUAUGAUAAGAAGGUGUACAAUCUGGGUUGAAAACAGCCAUGGACAAUGAAUUUGGAGGUGCUUGCUGGAGCAUCAGAAAUUACAUACUUGGAAUAAAUAAUUGCACAAUACACAUUUACUGAGAAGUGACUAAUGUUUAUGUUAAAGUGCAAUAUCCAUGUUUGUAACAUUUACAUGAGGGUAAUAGUUACAGUGUUGAAAGAGACUACCAGUGUUACAUUUCAAACUAAGUUACAGUGUGGAUGCUAAUUCUAAAUUCUUGAUAAUCAAGUGUUUUUAAUAACUUAUGAAUACUAAUUAUUUAUCAAACUGGUUAAUUUAUCACAUUCCUACAUCAUUAUUUUAUAUAAAAUGCUUGCAGUUAUAUAA
rnacentral:lncRNA from 1 species